rnacentral:tmRNA from 1 species
GGGGCUGUAAUGGUUUCGACGGGGGAUGUAAACCCUGAUAAGCGAGCGGCGGUGCGGAACCGCCAUAAAAUCCGCAAACUUAAAAUAACUGACAAAAGAACAGUUUCUUUAGCUGCUUGAUGCAGCUCGUCCCUGUGCGGAGCACCUCGGCCGCAUAAGGGGCGUCGAUCAGAGGUAAAUGUGAACAGAGCAGCGCUUCGGGCUCUGUCAUAAAUAAGAGGCUACCAAACCGCCGAGCCUGUCGUUAGGCGCGGCGGCAAGGGAAUGACAAUAUAGCGACUGCGCUCGGAGAAAGUCACGGCAAGCAUCUUUCGGACGGGGGUUCGACUCCCCCCAGCUCCACCA